rnacentral:rRNA from 1 species
UACAGAGGGGGCAAGCGUUAUUCGGAAUUAUUGGGCGUAAAGGGCGCGUAGGCGGCUUGGCAAGUGGAAGGUGAAAUCCCUCAGCUUAACCGAGGAACUGCCCUCCAAACUGCUUCGCUUGAGACCGGGAGAGGUGAGUGGAAUUCCCAGUGUAGCGGUGAAAUGCGUAGAUAUUGGGAGGAACACCAGUGGCGAAGGCGGCUCACUGGACCGGUACUGACGCUGAGGCGCGAAAGCGUGGGGAGCAAACGGG